CAGUCGCCGCGGUAAUACGUAGGUCCCGAGCGUUGUCCGGAUUUAUUGGGCGUAAAGCGAGCGCAGGCGGUUAGAUAAGUCUGAAGUUAAAGGCUGUGGCUUAACCAUAGUACGCUUUGGAAACUGUUUAACUUGAGUGCAGAAGGGGAGAGUGGAAUUCCAUGUGUAGCGGUGAAAUGCGUAGAUAUAUGGAGGAACACCGGUGGCGAAAGCGGCUCUCUGGCUUGUAACUGACGCUGAGGCUCGAAAGCGUGGGGAGCAAACAGGAUUAGAUACCCCAGUAGUCCCUGUCUCUUAUACA
rnacentral:rRNA from 1 species